rnacentral:rRNA from 1 species
UGUAAGCGUAUACCAAAGUUGUUGCAGUUAAAACGCUCGUAGUCGGACUUUGGCAGUUCCGGAUGUGUGCACGUCGUGUGCGCACUUCGCGGGGAUUGCUUUUGUGGUCUUGCGUAGGAUGAGGCACUUUUAUUAGUGAACGUCCUCACGCAACCACUUUUUACUGUGAGAAAAUCAGAGUGCUCAAAGCAGGCAUUUGCCGUGAAUGUAUUAGCAUGGAAUAAUAGAAUAGGACUUGGUUCUAUUUUGUUGGUUUGUUGGGACUGAGUAAUGAUUAAGAGGGACAGUUGGGGGCAUUUGUAUUUCGGUGCUAGAGGUGAAAUUCUUAGAUUACCGAAAGACAAACUGCUACGAAAGCGUCUGCCAAGGAUGUUUUCAUUGA